ensembl:lincRNA linc-62 ncRNA
AAAGAGCCCUGUAAGAAUGAAAUAGUCACAAUUCAUUCAACAUGAAUUCCAUCUUCUACCUUCUUGUCCUCAUCGCCUUUGCUGCAAACUUUUGAUUCUCCGAAAAUCUGGGAGCAGAAAUUCAUACCGAUAUUCUUGAUUCAAAAAUUAUCGCAGAACUCAGAGCAGCCCUCAAUGCGUGUGCAGCAAACGUGGAGUCCUCUGAGGACAUUCGCGUGAUUUUUCCGAAUGGCUGAUAAUUUUAAAAGGGUUUUUUAGAUAGGUGUAGAUGUUUCAACGGAGGACAUCAAUUAUGACCUAAAAUUGAAAUUCCCUGAAAAAAUGAAAAGUUUUUCAAGCAGUUAGCCGAUGUAGACGUUGAUAUUGAAGAGAUUAGAAAAUAUUUCAAAGAGAACUGUUAGAAUAUUCUAAACUUUUUCAUUUUGGGUGGGAGUAAAUUAAUUGAACAUUU